rnacentral:rRNA from 1 species
GAUGAACGCUGGCGGCGUGCCUAAUACAUGCAAGUCGAACGAACGGAUCAGAAGCUUUGUUCUCUGGUUUUAGCGGCGGACGGGUCAUUAACAUGUGGUUAACCUAACUCUAAGACUGGGGUAAUAUCGCGAAACCGGAUCUAAUACCGGAUAAUAUUUUGCACCGCGUGGUUCAAACGUAAAAGUCGGUCUUUCUGUCACUUAUAGCUGAAUCCGCGCUGCAUUAGCUAGUUGGUAAGGUAACGGCUUACCAAGGCAACGAUGCAUAGCCGACCCGAACGGGUGAUCGCACACACUGGAACAGAGACACGGUACAGACUCCUGCGGGAGGCAGCAGUAGGGAAUCGUCCGCAAUGGACGAAAGCCUGACGGAGCACAGCCGGGGGAGUGAUGAUGGUCUUCGGAUCGUAGAACGCUGUUAUUAUGGAAGAAGAAAUGUGUAAGUAACUGUGCACAUCUUGACGGUACCGAAUGAGAAAGCCACGGCUAACUACGUG